rnacentral:rRNA from 1 species
UUCACCCUACGGGACGCAGCAGUAGGGAAUUUUCGUCAAUGGGCGCAAGCCUGAACGAGCAAUGCCGCGUGAACGAGGAAGGUCUUCGGAUCGUAAAGUUCUGUUGAAGGGGAAAAAGAGCGGAGAGAGGAAAUGAACUCCGAUUGAUAUUACCCUUCGAGGAAGUCACGGCUAACUACGUGCCAGCAGCCGCGGUAAUACGUAGGUGGCGAGCGUUAUCCGGAAUGAUUGGGCGUAAAGGGUGCGUAGGCGGCCUGCUAAGUCUGGCGUGAAAGGUACCGGCUCAACCGGUACAGGCUCUGGAA